GCGGGAAUAGCUCAGUUGGGAGAGCGUCAGACUGAAGUUAUAUACGCAAUUUGAAGGUCGCGUGUUCGAUCCACGCUCACCGCA
rfam:Gossypium raimondii Chr07_contig_348, whole genome shotgun sequence.